rnacentral:ncRNA from 3 species
GUAAAAAAUUUAUAAGAAUAUGAUGUUGGUUCAGAUUAAGCGCUAAAUAAGGACAUGACACAUGCGAAUCAUACGUUUAUUAUUGAUAAGAUAAUAAAUAUGUGGUGUAAACGUGAGUAAUUUUAUUAGGAAUUAAUGAACUAUAGAAUAAGCUAAAUACUUAAUAUAUUAUUAUAAAAAAAUAAUUUAUAUAAUAAAAAGGAUAUAUAUAUAAUAUAUAUUUAUCUAUAGUCAAGCCAAUAAUGGUUUAGGUAGUAGGUUUAUUAAGAGUUAAACCUAGCCAACGAUCCAUAAUCGAUAAUGAAAGUUAGAACGAUCACGUUGACUCUGAAAUAUAGUCAAUAUCUAUAAGAUACAGCAGUGAGGAAUAUUGGACAAUGAUCGAAAGAUUGAUCCAGUUACUUAUUAGGAUGAUAUAUAAAAAUAUUUUAUUUUAUUUAUAAAUAUUAAAUAUUUAUAAUAAUAAUAAUAAUAUAUAUAUAUAAAUUGAUUAAAAAUAAAAUCCAUAAAUAAUUAAAAUAAUGAUAUUAAUUACCAUAUAUAUUUUUAUAUGGAUAUAUAUAUUAAUAAUAAAAUUAAUUUAUUAUUAUUAAUAAUAUAUUUUAAUAGUCCUGACUAAUAUUUGUGCCAGCAGUCGCGGUAACACAAAGAGGGCGAGCGUUAAUCAUAAUGGUUUAAAGGAUCCGUAGAAUGAAUUAUAUAUUAUAAUUUAGAGUUAAUAAAAUAUAAUUAAAGAAUUAUAAUAGUAAAGAUGAAAUAAUAAUAAUAAUUAUAAGACUAAUAUAUGUGAAAAUAUUAAUUAAAUAUUAACUGACAUUGAGGGAUUAAAACUAGAGUAGCGAAACGGAUUCGAUACCCGUGUAGUUCUAGUAGUAAACUAUGAAUACAAUUAUUUAUAAUAUAUAUUAUAUAUAAAUAAUAAAUGAAAAUGAAAGUAUUCCACCUGAAGAGUACGUUAGCAAUAAUGAAACUCAAAACAAUAGACGGUUACAGACUUAAGCAGUGGAGCAUGUUAUUUAAUUCGAUAAUCCACGACUAACCUUACCAUAUUUUGAAUAUUAUAAUAAUUAUUAUAAUUAUUAUAUUACAGGCGUUACAUUGUUGUCUUUAGUUCGUGCUGCAAAGUUUUAGAUUAAGUUCAUAAACGAACAAAACUCCAUAUAUAUAAUUUUAAUUAUAUAUAAUUUUAUAUUAUUUAUUAAUAUAAAGAAAGGAAUUAAGACAAAUCAUAAUGAUCCUUAUAAUAUGGGUAAUAGACGUGCUAUAAUAAAAUGAUAAUAAAAUUAUAUAAAAUAUAUUUAAUUAUAUUUAAUUAAUAAUAUAAAACAUUUUAAUUUUUAAUAUAUUUUUUUAUUAUAUAUUAAUAUGAAUUAUAAUCUGAAAUUCGAUUAUAUGAAAAAAGAAUUGCUAGUAAUACGUAAAUUAGUAUGUUACGGUGAAUAUUCUAACUGUUUCGCACUAAUCACUCAUCACGCGUUGAAACAUAUUAUUAUCUUAUUAUUUAUAUAAUAUUUUUUAAUAAAUAUUAAUAAUUAUUAAUUUAUAUUUAUUUAUAUCAGAAAUAAUAUGAAUUAAUGCGAAGUUGAAAUACAGUUACCGUAGGGGAACCUGCGGUGGGCUUAUAAAUAUCUUAAAUAUUCUUACA